GCCGAGCUGCGCGCUCUUCUGAAGGGAGAGGAGGGCGGCGGAUCGCGGAGCAUGUGUACGUUUUUUUUUGUUUUUCCGGGAACUUCCACAAUGUUACGAAACCUCGAUCCGUCUCUCCUGGCCAAAUUCUUUCGCGUGGAGACCACUUCUAUCGCUCAGCCUAAACACACACACACCGCCAUUUCUAUGAAUGUUUACGACCAGCUUCUCCAACACAAGAGGUCACCUAGCGGCUUGUUUCUCCUGAAAACGGGGCUGGGAGAUCGCGAGCAAGCCGGCCGUGGACUGGAUCGAUCCUGAGGAGGACUAUCACGAGAUCCUGAGGGCCAUCAAGGGAAAGCUGGCUGUUGACGUGACGACCUCGCCUCUCUCUCCUCCUCGCACCCCCCCACGUGUGCAUCCACAUUUUUGGGGAGGGGGGUGUAGAUGAAAACUUGCCUCACCUCCCCAAGGAAGGUGGUAAGUUUGUGGGUUCCCGUUGUCACCCAAAGCCAGCAAAAACACGAACUGCUGUCCUUAACUCACCCGUGUAGAUGCGAGUGUGGUUAAUUGCGUUUGCACAUCUGCUAUGUCACUUAGCAGAAAACAACAAGGAGCGAGGAUGGAGUUAAAUGCUCACUGAAGGCUGCUUUUCCUUGGUUAUGUGGGCUUAAUAUUAGACUGGCAGCAUUAUUCCAACGCAUAAUUCUUUCCUAGUUUGUCUCCUCUUGUGUAUGUGUAUGUAAUAUAUAUAUGCGCCCUAAGGAAACACAUUAGGAAAGAAUUAUGUGUUCAGAUGAUACAUAAUACGACUAGAAAAAUGACCUCUCAGAAGUCAAAUGGUGGAAAAAGCAGAAAUGCAAUUGCUGUAUGCUUGUGGUGAUAGUGACCCCUAUAUAUUUUUCCUCUAAAGGCUCAAUUAAAUAAUCUUGCAGGAUUAAUUCUUUGAGUUUUGGACAGUUAACUGAUUAAAUCUGCACCCAUUUUCUUAAGAAUAAAGGAAUCCUUCCAAAGGAAAACUACCCAGUGAUGUAUGCCUAGGUUGCAACAGGCACCAUAUUGGGAUACCUCUUCUAAGUUGACCAGGAAAAAGUGGGAAGGAGUAGCUUCAAAAGAGAAGAUGGAACCUGCCACCUGCAGUUUUGUAAGAUUUUUAAAAUAGGACUUGUAAAAAAGCAGGUGGCAUUCCCAAUAAUGAACACACACACACACACACACACACACACACACUGUACCCAAUUACUUUUUUAUUGAUCAAAAGCAGUUGAUGAAUCAAACUGUUUAGGCAGCUAAACAUUGCAGUCUUCUUUCCAGUAAUCAUUCCCCUGAUAUGAUCAUUUUAAUCUUCAAAGUGAGAGUGCUGCUGUUUGUGUAGCCAAAAUGGCACCACCAACAUGCAACUGAGAGGUAUCAGCAGAUUUUGGGGGAUCUCAAGGUUUGAGAAGUACAAAUUAUCAAAAAUGUUCCUUCCAACAGCCUAAUGAGAACUGAGCAAUGCUCUGUGGCUAUAGAAUGCUGACCAACUUUUUUGGGUGAACAGAAAAACCUGUGAGUAUGGGAUGGGAUGGAAUGGAGAAUUGAAUGGUGUAGCCUGGCAUCCUAUGCAGGGACACUUUAAACUGCUUUGAGUGUCCGUAUGCAGCCAAACAGUACCAUCCCCAUAAAGGAGGGAUGUGUCAGCAGGCUUGUGGGGAGUACAACAAUCACAAACAGACUAGUGAGGACUGAGUGUUCUCUAUGUACUCCCAGACCAAUGAGGGGGGCAGAAAACCCAGACAGGAAGGGGAAUGGCAUGAAAUGGCUGGAAUCCUAAACAGCAGUACUCCACACUGCAACAUUUUGUUGCAGGAUCCACUUGCACGUUCUAUUGACUUAAAUAUUAACUUCUCACACAAAAUUGCCAGCAUGGACAAUGAAACUACCGGUAGUCUUUCUAAUUUACACAACCAAUUAGAGUUCAAAACGUGUGUGGAGGCUUAAACUGGUUAUUCCUGCAUCUAUAAUACAGAUGUAAAACCUACAUACCUUUGACUAGGUCAAUUUCAUUUAAAAAUAGCUGUAUUCGGUACCAGGUAAACAUUUAGACAUGUGCAGCAGCAGUACAAGAAAGGUUCAUAAGGCAUGAGUGUGCAAAGCCUGAGUAUGGUAUGUGGUAGAAUUGUUGUGAGAUUGUUUUGCCGUCACCUGACUUCCAACUUAAUCCACAUGUUUGCAUCAUUACAACACAGCUGAAAGUCAACUUGCACAUUAGGUAUACAUGCUGAACUCUGCAUGGAUCUACUCAGACCACAUUCCUAGCACACCAGUCUGCUGGAUGUGUGUGUGGCAUGGGCAUAGCAAAGGGGGGGGGGAGCUGCCUCACGCAGGGUAAAACAAUAGAAAUAUACUUAACUAACUGACCAAUCACACUGGUUCUGCCCCCCCUUAACAAAAAUCCUGGCUACGCCCAUGGUGUGCCUCUCAUUGUUUUUCAGUAUCACUGGAUUCAUGCAAAAAGUUGUCUCUCCCUACCAAGGUGGGUAGAUAAUCAAACUAUUCCUAGGACUGUGUAUGUAUGUGCUAUGUGAGUCCGUGAAUCUGGUACAAGAUUCAUCACCUAGCAUGCCAAGAAUCUCAGCUUUCAAAAAGCAAUUUUCUCACUUUGAAGCAAUAGCUGUGAAUUCUGAUAAGAACUGGAGAAGCUGUCAUGGCCCUAAGAUGGGGACCUUGGGGUAGAGUGUUGAAUGGCCUCAUGAAGAGAACUACAUCCAUUUCAGUUUCAGAUGCAGCAGUGAAAGGCAUGUGGCAUUUCUUGGACCGGAGAAUGAAAACCCCACCACCCCUGUCCUCUGCUCCAACUCUCCUUCCUUAAAAACAUCCUACCAUCUUUAUCUCUCCGCAACUCCUCUCUAUCUCUGCUUCUCUCCACUGACAUCCAACCCCUCUCUGCCUUUUCCCCUCCCCAAAGCCCCUGAUUCUCUUUCAUAGUUCUUCCUCUUGAACUGGCACUUGAACCUUACCUCUACCACACAGGCCAGGCCCCAGGCCCCGUGUAUCUCUAUCUUGCCUAUGGGGAAAUGCCAUAGUGCAGUGGCAGAACAUCUACCUUGCAUGCAGAAGGUCCAAGGUUCAACCCCAGUUUCUCCAGGUAGGAAACACCCCUGCUUAAAACCCUGGAGAGCUUCUGCCAGUCAGUGUGAGCAGCUUUCUAUCUAUGUAUCCACCAACAGAGAGGAACAGCUAUGGGGCGUGAGGCUCUUCCAUCACUGGACUACCCCCAGCAUCCUCUGCCUGAAGCAGUCACCUCAUUCUGUUUGUAGAGCUAAUCUUGGCUUACACUGUCCCUAUUCCAGGAACCCCGUGGCUCUCUUUUUGGCUCUUCCUGUCUCACACGGCAAAGUUUUACCUUCCCCCAUGGCAGCAAAUAGCAACCCCUCAUUUACCUAGGAGAAUGGAAAAGGAGGCCCCUGGGGGCCCUGCCCUCCCCAGCCAGUCACCCAGUCACUGCUGCCAUUAAGAACCCUUCUGCUAUCCCAACUUGAGCUCAAUUUCAUGGUCAAUCUAAUUAUGUGGGGCAGAAUGUUGGUGAGCCUGAAUAUGCAGAACAAGUGACCCUAGAUGUUCAUAUAUUAGCCCUAAUGAACUCAGAUGUAUAUUUGGUUGUGAAUCCAUCCCAUCUCAGGAAACCUGCUGGUCUUCAUGUGCAUGGUGCUGAGUAAGGAGCUCAGGAGGGGCAGGGAAGAAAGCCCUGAUUAGUUUGCACUAAUGAAGUUGUCUGGGAGCUCUGACGAAUUGGAUAACUCCUUUGUUGGCAUAAGGCUUUGUUCACACUCCUGUUGGCUGUGCACCCGCUGCAUUUCCAGUGCUGGGUUUUUAAUCCAUGCACACACAAUGUUGCCCAAAAUGCACAGUUUCUUAUGAAGUGCUACUGUUUGAUGCAUUGUUUCUCAAACCACCUUCACACUGGUUGGAGCCCUUAAACCAUCCUUACUUCAUUUCCAGCCAAGGUGUGAACACCUUUGCAGAGGGCAAAGGCAUCCUUGCCCUGUCAACGCUACCUGGUGUGUGCAAAAAUAGAAACAAAUCUGACACUAACAAAGCCAUGCUGAUGUGAACAGCUAGCAGGAGUGGGGAGUUGACAACAACUUACAGUACAUCCAAGCUUUGUGCUUUUGGGUUUUUGAGUCUGAGGAGCCGUCCUGGGAACCUUUGAUUAGGAAAGUUACGUAGUUUUGAGGAAACAAGUGGCUCAUUUUGUUCCUUUUGCUUCCCCCCUCCCCAGCCUUUAACCUCUUUAUAUAUAUUCCUAUUGGGUGUUUAAAAAAAAAAGUUUGUUUGAUGGUUAAAAUUUGGUUUGCUAGCCAAGCAGGGCAUUGUUACAGUGAGUGCAUUUAGACUGAUGGAACAGGGAGCGAAUGAUUUGGAAAAGAGAAAGAAAUAAAUGCAGUGCGUUUUUGUGGGGGGGGGGGAGACUUACUCCGCUUAUAAGCAACCAUUCGCAUUGUCAGCUGUAACAAAGUGCCUGCAGGGAAGCUCAGCACAACAUGUGUCCCCACUGCCACACCCACCUUUAGGCGACACAUCAUCAUUCAUAAUAAAAAUAAUAAUAUGAAUAAAAAGAUUAAUAAAAUAAUAACAUCUAUAAAAUUCAGUGAUGUAUAAUAUGACAUUUUUAUAUUUUCCUUCCUUCAAGGAUCUUUUGAUGGUAUACAUAUACAUAGUUCCACCCUACACCAUUUUAUUUUCACAACAAACCUGAGGGAUAGUAUUUUUUAAAUUAUUGAAAGUUUGGGAUAUUACUAUUAAUAAUUUCAAUUCCUUUUCUGCCAUUCACUAUGCGGUCCCAAGGCAGGUUCAUAUACUAAUAUUGCUGUUUGUUUAUUCAUAUAGUCAUAUAGAACAAAAAAGUACCCACCCUCCCCAGAUAGCCCAUGCUCUCUAAACCAAAAUGAGACGUAAGCCCCGAUCUCAUCUUCACUGAUCAAGUGGAAGGAGGAAGGGGAUUGUGGCCCCUGCCCCCAGUUUUGGCAAUAAGACAUGGGAAGGGAUCUCUGCAUAUACAGAUAGAUGCUUUGGCUUUGUACAAAUAAACAAAUUACUACUGAACAGGGAUAUAGAAGGAGGAAUUGAAUUUCAUUCAGGUUCAAGGAAGCAACCACAGUGUAAGAAAACGCGGUGGUCCACAAAGAACAAGCAAACUAGAAUAGUGAUUUGGACUGCAGAAACAGAAAGGUUAAGUAUAAUUGAGCCAGUCCAACUCCUCUCCUGAGGCAGCGUACCACUGUGGAUGUUUCAGGAGGUGGCAAUGAGGAAUUUUGCCUCCUUCCAAAGGAACAUCAGCUUUUAAAAAGGAUGAAUAAGGCAUUUCCCGUAACUACAGAAAUAUCCUACCUAGAGUGUGCUCUCUCUUGUUCUCUAUUUAUCCAUACAUAUAUUCAAGAGGAGCAUCCCAGUUCCUAUGGCAAUCCAUAGAAACAGGAAACAGUUACAGGAAACAUAGAAAGGACCAGCCAGUUAGUGUAGGGAGACCAUAGGUCAUGCAUCCGGUACAGCAAGAAUGCCCCUGGCUCGGGCCUCCUUUCCCUGUCUUCUUUCAAAUGUAAAUGUACAGAACUUUCUAACUCUCUUCCCUAGUGAGUAAUCAUUGCAGGGAUGCAGCCUUUGGUUUAUAGCAUGCUAGCAGUUUCAUGGCACCCGUCCUGUAGAUAUUCCGAUAAUUAGAUCUAUGCUUUCUUCGAACUUCCACUGUUAUUUGAAAUUAGUAUGUCUUUUAAUAUGUUUCAUUUCACAGUUUUGAAAUGAUGAGUAAGUGCAGGUUGUGCCAUUUGAGUUCAUUGCAGCUACAUACAUUUUAAGCUUCCUGCUCUACUUUUACCUUUCCUUCAACUCCCACGAUGUAAAUGCAAAAUGUCUUUUUUUUAAAAAAAACAACCCUUUGCUUAUUUAUAAAAAUAUUUAUAGACCAGGGUGGUGUACAACAACAUUGAGAGAUCAAGACUCUGUAAUUUUAAAGCUCAUUAUUUGUGUGGGGUCUGGAGGCUUUGUAGGGAGAUUCAUAGUGAUUUUAAACUUUUCAUCCCAAGCGUCUGGUGAUUUGUAGUCUGUGUAAAGUAUUUGCCAGUCUCCGAUUUAUCUCAUGAUUUGCCCCGAUAGAAACUGUACUAGUAGCUCAUGCCAUCCCACACAAUACCACACCCUGUAUCAAUUUGCAUUGCAAAAUUAGUGCCUCACAAAGACACUAGUCUUCCCAUGGUGUGUCUUAAUGCUAAUAAAAGGUUUUAGGACAAACAUUUCCCAAAGCGUUUCCUCUUGGCCAUUGGAGCAGCUCUACUUUGAUCUUGGACAGCGCAAGCCCUAUGCCUGUUUAACUUGGUAAUGCAUGCAAUGGGAUUUACCCCAUAGUAUAAGUGUGUUUAAGAUUACAGCUUAAAAAAUAAAAUAACAUGGUUGCCAUGUACUUCCACUUAUUCACCAAUGUUCAUAACAACAAUUUUUAUUUUUAUUUUUAACUUGGCACAUCCAAUAUAGUUUGCAAAAUUGCUGUCCUCGUAUAUGUUUCCAUCAAUGAUACCAAAACUUUUUUUAAAAAAAGUUGUUAGCAAUAUCCAAGAUGGGUGUAUUUCCAGCGGUCUAUUCCUUUGGCAAUUUUUUUUUUUUAAAAAUGUACACUUCCAUCCUGAAAUGCACAUCCAUGGAGUGCCACUGGUGGGAAUUCCACCCACAGAGCUUCUGCCCAUUUGGCGGACAGAAUGGGGAGCUCCAUGCUAGUAGAGGACAUUAGAGUUGGGCAAAAGUGACACCUCCGUCCAGCCCAAACCUUCCCCCUGCCCCUGACUAGUACAAAGCAGGGUUGAAUUGUAGGCUCACUGCAUUUAUUGCAGCCUACUCUGUGGUUUGGUGUGGUUUUUUUUUUCAUUAAUAGGCUGCUGGCUGCUGGCUGCUUUGGGGUCCUUUGGGCCAAAAAGUGGUGUAUAACUAAAUCAUAACAUAUUAACACAAGCAUGGACAAUAUUCAGCUAUUGUGCCUCCUUUCAGUGCAAGCUUUUCUGCUUAUGCAACGGGACUCUUCCUCCUCUUCCCCACCUGCCCAGAGCAGAUUUGGGGAAGAAAGGGGGGGGGAGUCCUAUUAUUUUACAGGAAGAAAUCCUUGCACACUUAAGAUGCCCUGCUCAGCUCUACUUUGGAUACAACCCCAUAUGAAUAAGAAGUGCACAACAGGAACGGUUGAGGGAGCUGGGUAUGUUUAGCCUGGAAAAGAGGAGACUGAGAGGAGAUAUGAGAGCUAUCUUCAAAUGUCUCAAGCGCUGUCACAUGGAAGGCGGAGCAAGGCUGUUUUCUGCUGCUCUGGAGGGUAGAAUCCAAACGAGUGGAUUCAAGUUACAAGAAAGGAGAUUGCAAUUAAACGUCAGGAAGAACUUUCUGACAGUAAGAGCUGUUCAAGGAGGUUGUGGACUCUCCUUCAUUGGUGGUUUUUGGGCAGGGGUUGGAUGGCUAUCUGUCAUGGAUGCUUUAGUUGAGAUUCCUGCAUUGCGGGGAGUUGGAUUAGAGGACCCUCAGGGUCCCUUCCAACUCUACAAUUCUCUGGUUCUGCAAUCUAAUACUGGCUGUGCUAGUAUCACCACAAAGACCUUUUCUAAGUUCCCCAAUUGCCAAUGGACGCUUAUCUCUUGACAUUUCCAUGUUCAGCCCUUAAAUCUUCCUCCUUUCAUGCCAGUCAUGUCCAUCUAGCACAGAUUAGACAUUAUCUGGGCAGGAAUCAUUUUAUUUCUCUUUGCUGUACAGUGCCUGACCAACCAUUGGCACUAAAUAAAUAUUUCUUAGUAGGAGUAUGUACUGUAAACAGGAUACAGUGUGCAGAGCUCACAAAGAAACAAGAAAGAACAAUGCACCGAGAAACAAAAUGUUAAGGACUGCAUUGGGACAAAUGCAGGUGUCUAAGUAUUUAUUAUUAAAAACGAUUUGAGGCAGGAGGCGGAAAUGGGGCUUUGGUAUUCAUUUAACCUGUUUAUGUUUGUGUGUCUGUUUAAUGCUGAGCACUUUCAUUAUCCAGGCAAAGAGUCAGCAGGCGGAGCUCCCACACUAGUAUGAAAGGAGCCCACAAAAAUGAUGAUUGGUUUGCUCUUUAAAAGUUCUCCAUGUGUUAUGGAAUUUUGUCUUGAGCUGGCCUUUGCAAUUCAGACAGCCCAGCCUAACUAUCUGAAAGACAACUGCGCACACAUUUCAUUCUUACCUAGUUCCAAGCCCCUACUUAAUGGUGCCGAUUUAAAGGGAAAUAAAAAUGGCAAAACCCACAUUAAAAUAACAGUGAGAUUGACGUAAACUGACAAAAGCCAGGAAAUUCUCUGUUAAGGCAGCCACUCUGUCCUUGACUCACCCUAUUGUGCCUGUGUAUUGCAGUAGUCCGUAUGUUAUGUAAGGUUGCACCGUUCCGAGAUCUCGGCAAUACUUAUGCUAAAGCAGUUGAGUGCAGGAUAUAACCCAUGCCUCGGAAUUGUUUUCUUUUUUUCUUUUUUUUUCCUUCCCCCACCUCCACCUGAGCAGGGAGCAGGUGCGAAAGCAGAGCAACCCACUGCUCAGACUCUAACUAGGUGCCAGCACAGUUGACCCACCGUCUAGAGUUCCUCCUCCAUCCUCCCAGUUCUGGUUUUAGGUGUGCUUCAGUCCACAGGCACUAUCUUUCAGAGCUUGGCACUCUGGGCAGCCACCAACAGCAACCCUCGUGUAUUCCAAGCAGAGCAGUUGCAUCUUCUAUGAGUCAUGAGCCCACUCAGUGCAUCUUAGGACCUUUCCAGAUACUGAAGCUACCAGAGCUGACAUCAUCACCCCACCACUAAGCUGAUGCUAGCAGUAUGGCAUCCCACUCAACAUGAGGGAAGAAAAAUAAAUUGGCUGCAGGGGGGGGGGUAGAUUAGCCUAGGGAAGGAGAAGGAGUCAUUUGU